GGUCGAGUAAACCAAAGCGCGUGAGAGAACUCUGCUGAAGGAACUCGGCAAAUUGCACGCGUAACUUCGGAAGAAGCGUGACCCCUAUGCACGCAAGUGUGUGGGGGUGGCACAGACCAGGGGGUAGCGACUGUUUAUCAAAAACACAGGGCUCUGCGAAGUCGCAAGACGACGUAUAGGGUCUGACGCCUGCCCGGUGCUGGAAGGUUAAGAGGAGAGGUGCAAGCUUUGAAUCGAAGCCCCAGUAAACGGCGGCCGUAACUAUAACGGUCCUAAGGUAGCGAAAU
rnacentral:rRNA from 1 species